GAUGAACGCUGGCGGCGUGCCUAAUACAUGCAAGUCGAGCGAACAGACGAGGAGCUUGCUCCUCUGACGUUAGCGGCGGACGGGUGAGUAACACGUGGAUAACCUACCUAUAAGACUGGGAUAACUUCGGGAAACCGGAGCUAAUACCGGAUCAUAUAUUGAACCGCAUGGUUCAAUAGUGAAAGACGGUUUUGCUGUCACUUAUAGAUGGAUCCGCGCCGCAUUAGCUAGUUGGUAAGGUAACGGCUUACCAAGGCUACGAUGCGUAGCCGACCUGAGAGGGUGAUCGGCCACACUGGAACUGAGACACGGUCCAGACUCCUACGGGAGGCAGCAGUAGGGAAUCUUCCGCAAUGGGCGAAAGCCUGACGGAGCAACGCCGCGUGAGUGAUGAAGGUCUUCGGAUCGUAAAACUCUGUUAUUAGGGAAGAACAAAUGUGUAAGUAACUAUGCACGUCUUGACGGUACCUAAUCAGAAAGCCACGGCUAACUACGUG
rnacentral:rRNA from 1 species